rnacentral:rRNA from 1 species
CGACGAGUGGCGGACGGGUGAGCAAUACUUAGGAAUCUGCCCAGUAGUGGGGGACAACUCGGGGAAACUCGAGCUAAUACCGCAUACGCCCUAAGGGGGAAAGCGGGGGAUCUUCGGACCUCGCGCUAUUGGAUGAGCCUAAGUCGGAUUAGCUUGUAGGUAGGGUAACGGCCUACCUAGGCGACGAUCCGUAGCUGGUCUGAGAGGACGAUCAGCCACACUGGGACUGAGACACGGCCCAG